rnacentral:lncRNA from 1 species
CCUCUGGACUCAAAAAUCAUCUACACCAUCUCAACCAUCUCUCCAUUGAUGAUAGGUCAGUACCGACAGAAAAAGAGAGGGAGAAAUCCAUCUGGCCCUGAGGUCUUGUCCUCUCCAAGAGACAAGAAGGUCCCCCGCACCUCCUCAGUAGACAUUGAAUGAGUUAGGACCUCAUUCUCCUCAUUAGAGAUGCAGCACCUAGGAUCGGAUCCCUGGCAUGGGGCCUCCCUUCCCAAGAGAGCGAUCCAGCGUGAUAUGAAGACUUGAAGAAUUUGUCCUC